GGAGCGGGCGGCGGUGGCGGCGUCGGACGCGGCCAGCCCCGACCUCUCGAGCAGCCGCUCACUGUCGCGUAGCCCCGAGCGGCCCGGGCCCGAGGGACGCUCGGACACGGGCAGCGCCGGCCACGACACCAAGAAGAAGCGCGAGCGGCGCAAGAGCAUCAUCCAGGCCAUCUCGGACAUCUUCAAAUCGGGGGACAAGAAGGAGAAGCCGUCCAGCCCGCCGCCCGAGCGCGUGCUGUCGGCCAGCCCGCCGCGAACGCCGUUCGUCAAGGCCAACUCUGUCCGGGACAAGCUCGGCCUCCGGCUGAAGAAGGUCAAGGACCGGAAGUCGGAUGGCGGUGGUGCGGCGGCGGCG